rnacentral:rRNA from 1 species
GAAUUCGCCCUUAGAGUUUGAUCCUGGCUCAGGACGAACGCUGGCGGCGUGCCUAACACAUGCAAGUCGAACGGACGAGAGGGAGCUUGCUCCCUCAAGUUAGUGGCGGACGGGUGAGUAACGCGUGAGUAACCUGCCUUUCAGAGGGGAAUAACAUUCUGAAAAGGAUGCUAAUACCGCAUGACAUCGUAGUAUCGCAUGGUACAGCGAUCAAAGGAGCAAUCCGCUGAAAGAUGGACUCGCGUCCGAUUAGCUAGUUGGCGGGAUAAAGGCCCACCAAGGCGACGAUCGGUAGCCGGACUGAGAGGUUGAUCGGCCACAUUGGGACUGAGACACGGCCCAGACUCCUACGGGAGGCAGCAGUGGGGGAUAUUGCACAAUGGGGGAAACCCUGAUGCAGCAACGCCGCGUGAAGGAAGAAGGUCUUCGGAUUGUAAACUUCUGUCCUCAGGGAAGAUAAUGACGGUACCUGAGGAGGAAGCUCCGGCUAACUACGUGCCAGCAGCCGCGGUAAUACGUAGGGAGCGAGCGUUGUCCGGAUUUACUGGGUGUAAAGGGUGCGUAGGCGGAUCUGCAAGUCAGUAGUGAAAUCCCAGGGCUUAACCCUGGAACUGCUAUUGAAACUGUGGGUCUUGAGUGAGGUAGAGGCAGGCGGAAUUCCCGGUGUAGCGGUGAAAUGCGUAGAGAUCGGGAGGAACACCAGUGGCGAAGGCGGCCUGCUGGGCCUUAACUGACGCUGAGGCACGAAAGCAUGGGUAGCAAAACAGGAUUAGAUACCCUGGUAGUCCAUGCCGUAAACGAUGAUUACUAGGUGUGGGUGGUCUGACCCCAUCCGUGCCGGAGUUAACACAAUAAGUAAUCCACCUGGGGAGUACGGCCGCAAGGUUGAAACUCAAAGGAAUUGACGGGGGCCCGCACAAGCAGUGGAGUAUGUGGUUUAAUUCGAUGAUACGCGAGGAACCUUACCCGGGCUUAAAUUGCAGCGGAAUGUAGUGGAAACAUUACAGCCUUCGGGCCGCUGUGAAGGUGCUGCAUGGUUGUCGUCAGCUCGUGCCGUGAGGUGUCGGCUUAAGUGCCAUAACGAGCGCAACCCUUAUCUAUAGUUACUAUCAGGUCAUGCUGAGGACUCUAUGGAGACUGCCGUCGUAAGAUGUGAGGAAGGUGGGGAUGACGUCAAAUCAGCACGGCCCUUACGUCCGGGGCUACACACGUGCUACAAUGAUCGGUACAAUAAGACGCAAGCCCGCGAGGGGGAGCAAAACUGGAAAACCGAUCUCAGUUCGGAUUGUAGGCUGAAACUCGCCUACAUGAAGCUGGAGUUGCUAGUAAUCGCGAAUCAGCAUGUCGCGGUGAAUACGUUCCCGGGCCUUGCACACACCGCCCGUCA